CACUGACUAGGGUUGGACCGCACAGUCUAAGCUAAUUCCAAUUGGCUAUUUUAAAGACAGCAGAGGUACAAGCCACACUGGCAGGACAGUUACAGAACAGGUGACUAAGGAUGACUAAGGACAGAACAGGUGACUAAGGAUGACGAAGGACAGAACAGGUGAUUAAGGACAGAGCAAGUGACUAAGGUUGACUAAGGACAGAGCAGGUGACUAAGGACAGAACAGGUGACUAAGGAUGACUAAGGACAGAACAGGUGAGUAAGGACAGAACAGGUGACUAAGGAUGACUAAGGAUAGAACAGGUGACUAAGGGUGACUAAGGAUAGAACAGGUGACUAAGGGUGACUAAGUACAGAGCGGGUGACUAAGUACAGACCAGGUGACUAAGAAUGACUAAGGACAGAGCAGGUGACUAAGUACAGAACAGGUGACUAAGGGUGACUAAGUACAGAGUGGGUGACUAAGUACAGAGCAGGUGACUAAGGAUGACUAAGGACAGAGCAGAUGACUAAGUACAGAACAGGUGACUAAGUACAGAACAGGUGACUGAGGAUGAAUAAGGACAGAACAGGUGACUAAGGGUGACUAAGGACAGAGCAGGUGACUAAGGACAGGUGACUACGGAUGACUAAGGACAGAACAGGAGACUAUGGAUGACUAAGGACAGAGCAGGUGACUAAGGACAGAACAGGUGACUAAGG
rnacentral:lncRNA from 10 species